UCCGAUAUCGUCUAGCGGCUAGGAUACCGCGUUUUCAUCUUCUUCCACUGAUGGUGAUGUAAGAACCGCGGGGGCCGGGGUUCGAUUCCCCGUAUCGGAG